UAAUAAAAAGAAUGCCUGAUUUUCUCUUAAGAUGAACAACUUAGGCUUCAGACUAUUUACCUGGAAUUUAUUAUCUUGUAGGAAGAGCUCAGAGCUCGUAAUCUUUUCUAUGCUCUUUGGGUGCCUAAUCUAUUCAUGAAAAGGGUUGGAAAUAAUGAAAAGUGGUCACUCUUUUGUCCUAAUAGUGUCCAGGUCUGGGAGAUUGGUAGGAUGAAAGCUUCGAACAGCUUUGCACUCGUUAUGAGAGGUAAGGCCAAAAGAGUUGUAUCUUCCCAACAACGUUGGUAUGAGGUUUUGAAAUCCCAGAUUGAAACAGGAACUCCAUACAUGCUUUUUAAGAUCAUGUUGUUCAAGUAAAGGACGGUGCAUGUAGUUGAUGCUGGAUAAAGACAGGUGGGGAACUAGAUUUGAUUCCAUGGCUAAACAAAUCAAAAUUUAACUCACCAAGAAUCGCUUCAACUUUAUAGGUUUGACACCAUGGCUGCACAGACUAAGUUCCGGGAAUAGUGGGAAGACAAGAGUUUGUAUCAAUAUGUAGGCUGUAGAAACCAAGUUACUGCACACACUAUGUGGCAUGUUUAAUUUGGAACAACGUAGUUGUAUCAGCUUUUGAUGCCCCAAGUAGAUGGCCAUGCAUUUGAAUACUUUUCUUCAAUUAAUGGUUGCUUGGAUGAUUGGGAAAUGCUCCCUUUUAACAUUUGACAUA